UACAGAGGGUGCGAGCGUUGUCCGGAAUCACUGGGCGUAAAGGGCGCGUAGGCGGCCUGAUAAGUAGGGGGUGAAAUCCUGUGGCUUAACUGCAGGGCUGCCUCCUAGACUGUUAGGCUCGAGCACAGGUAGAGGCAGAUGGAAUUCCCGGUGUAGCGGUGGAAUGCGUAGAGAUCGGGAAGAACAUCGGUGGCGAAGGCGGUCUGCUGGGCCGUUGCUGACGCUGAGGCGCGACAGCGUGGGGAGCAAACAGG
rnacentral:rRNA from 1 species